CUGGCAGCAUCACCAUCACCCGGGAACUUGUUAAAAAUACAGAACUAACCAAAAUCUGUACUUGAACAGAUUUUGUGUAUGUAGCAUUAAAGUUCAAAAAGCACUGACCUACACUGCCCCUUCCAAACCUUGAGUUUCUAAUUCUGGAACUCCAUUUCCCAAACUGUUUUGUAUGUUAAACAGAGGUAACACCCAAGAAAAACAGUAUUUUCCGUUCAAAUCUGGGGAACUCUCGAUACUAUACUUCCAGUAGGAAAUUCGUGAUAAAAAUAUCAGUAGCAUACUGAAAGUUCCAAAAUAUUCUGUAGUAGAGAAAACUUUAACCAUGAAGUUUCUGAACAUAUUUGAGCACAAACUGUCUUUGAAAAAAAAGUUAUCCUUAACUACUAUCGCUAACAUCCCCGGGCCUUGGGCUUCGCCCAUACAUUAGCUAAAGAACUUCAAUCUCCACCUCAUAGCUCCUUGACUCUCAGUACAUUAAGCAUACUGGAUUAGUAAGUGGUCAAGACGGGCUUGCUGCUCUCCACACUGUAAUAAGUGAGAGUAAGUUUCUAAAUCACCGCCUCUUUUUUUUUUUUUUCUUUUUUUCACCGCCUCUUAAAAAAUACCGGAGUUCUUCACCUGUGUGAUUUAGCUGUCGGGAUGCGCUAAGAUGACUGCUCAAGGGUGAGCCUGCCAGUUAAGGCGGACGCCAGGAAUUGGAGACUGACACACCAAACGCAUAUCCAGGCCCCCCACCUUGAGUCCGCUUUGUUUUUUGUUUGUUUGCCUGUUUUUCUGUUUGACACAACUUCUCAACCGUGUGCCCCACAGGAAACCUGUAGCUUGGAGUGGGUUCAGGGGUGCCUUGGAUGCUCCCAGGAAAGGAGGGGAACCCUUGCAGUUCCGGAGGAAUUCGGAGACGCAAUCACUCGACCCCGGGAGCACACCACACCGGCAGGCUGAAGAGCUCAGCACUCUUCAUUUCCGAAAGAAGGUCACAGCUGAUAACUUCAGGGACACCAGAUCCGGUUGCUCAGCUGCCUGAUGCUAGCUUUGGCCAUAAAUUUGCAGAAGAAAAGAAAUGCAAGACCUUAAUUAUUUUGAGCCUUAUCACCUAUCCCAGACCACGAGCCCCAAGCUAUAAAAACCUUUCCCAGUGGCGGGGCGGGGGCACAGUUCUUGAGACUCUAGCCUGCUGUGUUCCCCCUUUUGCCUAGCAAAGAAUAAAGCUACUUUUUCUCCUUCAAAACUCCGUCUCCGUAUUUCUUUUCGGCAUUGGUGCACAGAAAGCCAAGAUUUUGGCAUCACAGCCAGGCAACCCAGCUUCGUGAAGAUUCGCGGCAUGCUGUGGCCCGCAGGCACCCAGCACGCGCCUGCCCCGCUGCCAUGGUGUCUGUCCAAGAGGAAGGUCAGCUCUGCCGAGUGGCGGAGAAGGAGGAGCCCAAGAGGAGACCAGCGAUGCUGUUGGCUAAAACAGCUUCUGCAAAAGUGGAAAUGAAGCCAAAAAGGUGGAAGGAAAGGAUAAAUCUUCAGGCAAAAAUGUGCAAACAAAGGGGAAAAGGGAGCAAAGGGAAAACAGGCUGAAGUGGCUCACCAAGAGACUAAAGAAGACUUACCUGCAGAAAACGGAGAAAAUAAAAAUGAGGAGAGGCCAGCCUCUGAUGAAGCAGGAAAGAAAGAAGCCAAGUCUGAUUAAUAUCAAACACCCGGUCCUAUCAGUGGUCCCUGUCUCCCUUCUUGUACAAUCCAGAGGAAUAUUUUUACCAACUAUUGUGUAAAUGCAAGUUUUUUAGUAGCUCUAAAAACAUUUUUAAAAAGGAGGGAAUCCCACUUCAUCUCAUUUUUUAAGUGUGUGACAGGGAAGAGCUAAAUCGGACUCCACGUUGGAUCUGUUUCUUUGACUUUAACCUUUGAUUUUCGUUGCUUUUGUUAUUAUAAUCAUGCAUAAUGACCUGCCUCAGGAAACCCUGCCCACCUGUGAAUGGCUGCAAGAAAAAAGAAAUUAACAUAUCACCUCACUGAGGCUGGUCAUUCCAGGAGAUGUUUUACAAGACUAAUGGCCCUUUUACUUUACUUCCUCACUGCCUCUCCCUCUCUGAUUCUAUAAAAGAAACUGGCAUCCAGACCCAGAUAAGAUGGUUUAUCGGAGACUAGUCUGCCAUCUUCCCGGUCUGCCGGCUUUCCGAAUAAAGUCGUAUUCCUUACCUCAA